rnacentral:rRNA from 1 species
GAUGAACGCUGGCGGCGUGCCUAAUACAUGCAAGUCGAGCGAACGGACGAGAAGCUUGCUUCUCUGAUGUUAGCGGCGGACGGGUGAGUAACACGUGGAUAACCUACCUAUAAGACUGGGGUAACUUCGGGAAACCGGAGCUAAUACCGGAUAAUAUUUUGAACCGCAUGGUUCAAAAGUGAAAGACGGUCUUGCUGUCACUUAUAGAUGGAUCCGCGCUGCAUUAGCUAGUUGGUAAGGUAACGGCUUACCAAGGCAACGAUGCAUAGCCGACCUGAGAGGGUGAUCGGCCACACUGGAACUGAGACACGGUCCAGACUCCUACGGGAGGCAGCAGUAGGGAAUCUUCCGCAAUGGGCGAAAGCCUGACGGAGCAACGCCGCGUGGGUGAUGAAGGUCUUCGGAUCGUAAAACUCUGUUAUUAGGGAAGAACAUAUGUGUAAGUAACUGUGCACAUCUUGACGGUACCUAAUCAGAAAGCCACGGCUAACUACGUG